rnacentral:lncRNA from 1 species
UUCCACAAAUCGCGUGUCAACUCGGCGAGUUUACCGAGUUUACGUGUUUAGGUGCUAAAAACGUGUUAACUCGGAGGUAAACUCGAUUUCUGGUAAAAUCGAAAAGUUUGACGAGUUUGACCGAGUUAACACUCAGUAAACUCGUGUGAAAUCGGGCGAGUUUACCGUUUUUGCGAGUUUACUCCUGUAUUUUUUUUUCUUCAAAAAUGGCCCAUUGUUUUUGGCCCAUUUUUUUCAAGCCCAAAUGAAAACAUAUUUACUUUCUAGCUUACAACACGUUUCAGCUUACUGAAGUGAAACAUUUCAUAUCAUUUUCUUUGAGUUUUCAAGAACAGGGGAGCGAAUGAAACAUUAGGUUUCCGAAGAUGAAGAUAUAGAUGAGAAUGGUGUUAUGAAACUUUAGAAGAUUGACCUUUCGAAGAAAUUACUUAGUUUGUUUUUUGGAUAGUUUUAUUCUCAAGUUUAUAAACUUGUGAAACUUUAUUUUUGGGAUG